rnacentral:lncRNA from 10 species
UAAAGAGGAAAAUUCUAGACAUCCAUGUUGAAAAAUCAAAGCUCAGCUGAGACUACUUCUAUCAAGAAAAUUAUUUUUAUCUGCGAAUGGGUUGGAUCAGUACAGGUGGUUUGAGAAGACACUGACUGAGGACCAUGGAAAGGUGGGAGAGGACGUGCGGCUUCUCUGCUUCCUUUGAACAGAGCUCUAGGCACCACAAGGCCACAUAAGGAGGGUGAGGUCCCUGGAGUGGAUUAUAUUUUCAUCACUGUUGAAGAUUUUAUGGAAUUGGAGAAAAGUGGUGCUCUCCUAGAAAGUGGGACUUAUGAAGCGAUUUUGGAGUAUGCAAUCCAUGAUGACUAUAGUCACCAUGCUGAGUAAUAGAUCACCAGAACCGAUUCCUCCUUCUAACUGAAACUUUGUACCCUUUGACCAACAUUUCCCCUUGAUGUGUCUACCCUCCGUCCUUUACAGCUUCUGGUAACCACCACUCUACUCUCUCCUUCUAUGAAUUUGACUUUUUUUGAUUCCAGAUGUAAGUGAAAUCAUGUCGUAUUUGUCUCUCUGUGCCUGGCUUAAAUCACUCAAUAUAAUGUCCUCUAGGUCCAUCCAUGUUGUUGCAAAUGACAGAAUUUUCUGCUUUUUAAAGGCUGAAUAGUAUUCUAUUGUAUAUACCACAAUAUAAAAAUCCAUUAUCUAAUGAUUGACACUUCAGUUGUCUCCAUUUUAAUCUGAAACACGUCAAAAAUUCACCCAGAAAAAAAUCAUGUCCUUUGAGUGGGAAGAAGAAAAAUCAUGACUUCAAAAAUUUUACUUAUAUUUCUCCCUACUGCUUUAACAAACAGAACCUAUUUACCUUGAAUAAUUAGGUGCAUAUUUUCAAACCCUCUGUGUUGUUUUUCUGAGUGGAAAAAAAUUGGAUAACAAAACUGAUAAUAUAUCAUAAUUUAAUGAGUGUAUUGCUGCAGCUAUGAAUAUAUAUUGUAAUAUAUUCACUGGAUCUGACAACUCCAUGACUUUCAAAUACAGUAAAUUUCCUCAUUCUAUAAGAGGCACACAAGAGAAUCUUGAUGAAAUUGAUUCCAACCGUUUUUAACUUAAGAGUCCAUGUUUCUCUGAAAUAUCCCCAUAGAUAUAAGCAGUGGCUCUUGCAUGUUAAGUCUUGGAUUUAACACAUAGACCUUAAUAAAGCAAAUGUUUUAUUUACCCUAGUCUUUCUCAAUGGUGCCCUAAUGUGAUGACAGAGGUUUUUCAGAGAUUUGUUCUAUGCAUUAAUGAUUUGAAAGCUAUAACCUGAUGUCCUAUUAUAUAAAAGUCAUUUUUGUAUUUGAAUUUAAAAUCUGAAAAAGAAAACCGCAGACAUUCUUUCCUUAUAUCUUCUAUAUUCCUAAUCUGGGGGACAAAGGAGAGUAAAAUCUAGUUGACCUCAGGUCUGUUAUUUCUCUCAGGGGAAAUAGAAACCAUCAAUACUGGAAAAACCAAUGCCCUCAUUUUUAUUGCUAAGUAGCUACUUUAUUUAAAUCAUUGAUAUCCAACCAAGUUACGACAGAUGUAGAUGGUUUUAUGAAUUAUUUUAUAAACUGCAACUUUUAUUCAGACUGCACAAAAACAAUAUCUGAAACUUUGAGGCCUCUAUUGACCAUGCUGUAAACAGAAAUACUGAGCAGCUUGAUUAAAAUUUAUAAAGUAAUAUUUGUCAAAAUACUCCGCUGCUUAUGUUUAAAAGCAAUCAUGUUAUAGAAUAUUCACACUGUAUGAAAGCUUCUCCUUAUUGAAGGCUUGGAAACCCUCAUGAUUAUGGCAAAUCAUUCAUAACACUAGACUAAAAUUUAGUAUCAGUACUUCCUUGACUAAUAGUUCUCUUAGAUCCGUUAUAGGUUGUAUCUAUAUGUAGCAACCAGACAAAAUCAGGAUCAAUUGUCCACAUAAGAUGGCUGCAGAGAACUGAUUCCAUGAAAGGAAAUUCUGAAACACUCUACAAAUAUGAAUUUUUCGGGACCAGCAGAAAGCACAAAUUUAAAUUAUAAGUUACAACAAAAUGGAAAGUUUGACUUACACUGUCUUCAACCUAUUUAUUUUAGCUAUACUGGCCUGCUUUCUGUUUCUCAAAUAACCAGCACAUUCCUACCCACACAGGAUCUUGAAUUUGUCAUUUUCCUGGACUACUUUUCUUCCUAAUAUCCAUCUGUUCCUUUUUGUCACUUUAUGAUAUUCAUCCAAAAAUCAGGUCUUCAGGGAGCUCCUACCUGACUACCUUAUCCAAAAUUGGACUUGCCCUCAUUUUCUAUUCUGUUCCAAUUAUUUAUUUUUUAUUGCACUUAUAAUUGACCAUUUAUUCUGUAUCCAUUUAUUUGUUUAUUGUCAGUGUACCUCACUAGAAAGUAAACUCAGAGAGUCAGAAAAUUUGUUUGAAUCACAGUUCAUUUUCAAACUUAGAAUAAUCACUGGCACCUAAGCAGUGCUCAAUAAAGGUGGGUUGAAUGAAUGGAUGAAUACCUAAGUUUCUUCUUCUAACCCAACAAUGAGAACCCUUCUACCCCUACUUAGAGAUUUAGCCUGACCCAAGACUCUGGGGCAUAUCCACUUUCUUGGCUCUAGGCCAAUACUUUGAAGCUGCAGCAUCCAUUUGGCCUUAGAAUCUAGUCCUAAGUUAACCACAUGUCCUAAGUGUGAUAAUUUUGUCUUUAUCUUAAUUCUCAUCAUUAACAUUGUGAGUCUCUUUCUCUCACAUGUUUCCCUCUCACUUUAUCUGGGAUGUAGUUCUUAUCUUGCUAUGGCCAUUCCCAUAGUGUGGUUUUCCCUACACUAAUUCAUAGUAUAUCAAAUCGCUAAAACUCAAAACAGUACAUUUGGUCAACAAAACUAUACCUUCAAUCACUCCUUCCACACACACACACACCCCAAAGUUCUAUGUAUUUUACUACCUAUGAAUUAAUGAUAAUUACCCUUCCCUAAAAUUUCUGUCUUUUUUCAUGUUCUCUUUUUCUCCCAAAUAUUAUGAAGGCUUCCUUGAUUUCUCUGCUUUCAAUACAGAAAGUCAGUGGAGAGUUAGAGAAAAAAAGUAAUGAGGUUAAACGUAUGAAAGAGGUAGAAAGGUCCUGCAAUAUAUUGCAAAAUAUACAAAUUCCAAAACUUAUUUUAAAACAAAGGAACUAGAAUGUGUGUUUUCUCAUUAAAGAAAUGUAAAGGCUUUGUAAAUAUGUGGACAUGUGGGACUUGGGAUUUAUUAGCUAAUUCACUAACAUUUUCUGGCUGCUUUUUGAUAAACUAUAAGGAAGGAUAGGUUUGUUUAUUAUUCCUUUAUUCUAAGGAUAAUUAAUGGAAAAACUGAAAAUAUAUUUUUAUCAAUUAGUAAUUGUUCCGUGCUAAGAUUUCCACCUCACCUUACCCUUCUCUUUUUUCCUUUUAUGUUAGAGUGACUUUAAAUUAUUUUAUAAUAUGUGAAAGUUUGAUUCCUUUCACUGAUUAAUGGGUAAAAUUAUAAACCUGAAAAUGUGUAUUUUAAGUAUGAAUACUAAUAGUAACCCAAAUUAACACAAUGUGUGGUGUCAAUAAACAAAAAGUUUUAAACGAUAUACAAUAGGCCCAAAAUGACGUAAUCCUGACAAUGAUGGGUAGAUAAAAGGAACAUAUUUGAGUUAAAAUUUUCCAAUGAGUUUUCUUCUCUUUUACCUCCAUGCCAUAUGUAAACAAGGGGCAUGUAUUUGGCGAGAGAAACCUGCCCUUUGGCACUGGGAUCUGGCAUUGGAGGAUGCCAUUUCCCAAAGGGAUCUGUUCCCUUUUGGCUGGUCCAUAGGAACAGAAAGAUUUCUCCAUGCCAGGUCCCCCAGGAUCAAUUCUAGACAGAUUAAAUACUUGCUAUUUCUGCCCCUGCUCUCUAAGGAUGAGAGUAAAUGGUCUCCAUGAAACUUCCAGAGAACACCUUUUUGAUGCAGCCAUCUGGUUUCCCUGGAGAUGAAACAAGUUUUAUUAUACCUGGGAUGAAAUGUAACACAUUGCAACAAGGGCAGUUGGUAGCAUUUCUAACUUCAAGGAUAUCUAGGAAUACUAAUUUUCAAAGAGUGUAUACAGGUUAGAUAAUUUUAACUUCUCCCUUCUCCCCUAUUCCCCUUCAAUUUAAUAGGGGUCUCAUUUAUGGUAAAGUGUAGCAGCAAACCAUUAAAAGAAAAUGUGUAUAAUGGUGUAUGCAGGUUAGGGAGAUGUGGGGAUGGAGACUCCUGGAGACAGGCACAUUGACAGCCUGACAGUGAAGGAGGACAGAGAGAAAGUACAGAAAGUUGACAGAGGAAUGCGAAAAUUGAGUCAUCCAUGGUCAUUCUUACAGUGGAAGUGCUUAUCAGUCUGGCAGAGGUAAUCAAAAUAUUGCAACCCCGCAUAGCUAUUGAUUCUCCUAAUAAUGACCCUGAGCUAUCCAGAAAACGUUAUGUGCAGAAAGGUAAUAUUUAAGAAAGAUUUCUUUUAAAGAUAAUUAAAAUUCAAAAGUUUGGACUUCUGAAAGGGAAAGGCUAGAAUAUUCACCUAAUUAGAAUACUACAUUCCUUGAAAAUGCCAGACAAAUGUAAUGCAACUCUUGGUAUAAAAUAUUUUAACUACCUUCUAUUUGGAAACAAUUUAUUAUAUAUAUUCAAAUUUAUACUCAAAUUAAGAUUUGACUAAAUUGUCUCAACAAUUAUAUCAGAAAUGCAUUCUAUAAAUGCAAACAAACCUGACAAUGUUCUUACAUGCCUAAAACAUUCUAAGUAUAUAUAAAUAUACAUUUAAAAAGUGAUUAGAUAUUUUACAAUUAUAAUAAAGUUAAAAACUGCAUAUUCUUUUGCCCCAAUAAUGUUUUUUAUGAAGUCAGAAAUCUUGUAUGUGGCAUAUUUGUAAAGCAACUAAUGAAUGUGCUGGAUUUAAAAUAGAUGUGUAAAACUAUUGGUGCAUUACCAAAUUGUUAAAAUUGAUGUAUUAAUAAAAUGUGAAUUUACAA